GCUGUUUUUUGAAGAUGGUGAGAGAUUCUACGGUUCGGAUUGAGGUUGGAAGUUCAUUCCACCACUGAGGAACAGUUAAUUUGAAGGUUCUUGAAAGGGACCUUGAGCCACGCUGAGUAGGCACUACUAAGCGUCAGUCAUUGAUUGAUCGCAGAUUGCGUGAGGGAACGUAAGCCUUCAGGAGAGAGUUGAGGUCACAGGGAGCCUGAAGCCUUUCCCAGGGUACUUGGGUCACAAGGAGGGGGACACUGUGGACAAGAUUUGUUCACUUGGAAAUGCAGGUUCUUCAGAAGGACAAGUUAAUGAGUGGAGAAGCCUCAUUCACAGCUUCAUUCUUUCCGUCUGGACUCCAUUUUAUAAGAGGUGAGCUCAAAUCAAUCAGCUGGAGAA